rnacentral:rRNA from 1 species
GUGGCAGGGGCGGCGGUAAUACGUAGGGUGCAAGCAUUAAUCGGAAUUAUUGGGCGUAAAGGGCGCGUAGGCUGAUUUGUAAGUCAGAUGUGAAAUUUCGGGGCUCAACCUCGAAGCUGCAUUUGAAACUACAAGUCUGGAGGGUUGACGGAGAAAACGGAAUUCCACGUGUAGCGGUGAAAUGCGUAGAUAUGUGGAAGAACACCGGUGGCGAAGGCGGUUUUCUAGUUAACACCUGACGCUGAGGCGCGAGAGCAAGGGGAGCAAACAGGAUUAGAUGCCCUGGUAGUCCUUGCCGUAAACGAUGUAUACUUGAUGUAGCUGGGCUCAACCCUGGCUGUGUCGGAGCUAACGCGUUAAGUAUACCGCCUGAGGAGUACGCUCGCAAGGGUGAAACUCAAAAGAAUUGACGGGGGCCCGCACAAGCAGUGGAGCAUGUGGUUUAAUUCGAUGCAACGCGAAGAACCUUACCCAGGUUAGAAGUGCAGGGGAAGUUAGCAGAGAUGUUAACGUCCGAAAGGACCGCUGUAUAGGUGCUGCAUGGCUGUCGUCAGCUCGUGCCGUGAGGUGUUGGGUUAAGUCCCGCAACGAGCGCAACCCUUAUCAUUAGUUGCCAACAUAUAAGAUGGGGACUCUAGUGAGACUGCCUAGGUUAACUAGGAGGAAGGUGAGGAUGACGUCAAGUCAGCAUGGCCCUUAUGUCUGGGGCUACACACGUGCUACAAUGGUCGGUACAGAAGGCAGCGAAACUGUGAAGUGGAGCAAAUCCGUAAAGCCGAUCUCAGUUCAGAUUGUAGUCUGCAACUCGACUACAUGAAGCUGGAAUUGCUAGUAAUGACGUGUCAGCAAUAACGUCGUGAAUACGUUCCCGGGCCUUGUACACACCGCCCGUCACAUCAUGGGAGUUGGUUUUACCCGAAGUCGCUGACUUAACCGCAAGGAGAGAGGCGCCUAAGGUGAGGCUGAUGACUGGGAUGAAGUCGUAACAAGGUAACC